GCGAAAGGACGACCUUUCCCCGUCAUGGGCGGCAUCCGGGACGGCCCGC
rnacentral:ncRNA from 1 species